rnacentral:rRNA from 1 species
GACGAACGCUGGCGGCGUGCUUAACACAUGCAAGUCGAGCGGUAAGGCCCUUUCGGGGGUACGACGAGCGGCGAACGGGUGAGUAACACGUGGGUGACCUGCCCUCAGCUCUGGGAUAAGCCUGGGAAACCGGGUCUAAUACUGGAUAUGACUCCAUGACGCAUGUUGUGGGGUGGAAAGACCUUGUGCGGCUGAGGAUGGGCCCGGCCGGCCUAUCAGCUUGUUGGUGGGGUGGANGGCCUACCAAGGCGACGACGGGUAGCCGGCCUGAGAGGGCGACCGGCCACACUGGGACGUGAGACACGGCCCACGACUCCUACGGGAGGCAGCAGUGGGGAAGUCUUGCGCAAUGGGCGAAAGCCUGACGCAGCGACGCCGCGUGAGGGAUGACGGCC